rnacentral:lncRNA from 1 species
AAAAAUAACACAAAAUAUUUGAACUUUUUUUUUGAGAGAGAGAAAGAUAACCGAUGUUAUCUGCUUAGUUUAUUUUUUUAACAGUAAAUUUCGCUAUUACUGUAAAUAUUAAAAAAAAAAUAAAGUUUGAACUAUAUAUAUAUACAUAUAGGGCCAUGGCUACUAUACUAUUAUGAGUAUUGGAGCCUUCGUACUCAUAAGUUGUUUUCAAUGAUGGAGCUUCCGAAUCGACGAUCCACUCCGUUAAAUAUGAUCUAGAGUAUUUGAAACUUUUAGAAAAAAAAUUUCGUAAGUUUUCGAAAUCAUAAUAAAGUCUAUCAAAUGGGCAUAAAAUGAACGGUCAAAAUCGAACAACGUCCUAAAAAAGAUGAUCAGAUCCUUCAAUUCAAGAUCGGAGUUAUUGAUCUUUAUCUAUGUAAUGAAUAGAAUUUUCUAUAAAAAAAUUCAACAAAUUCCGAUUCUUUUACACCGUUAAACUAGCAAGAAUUCCAUACCGGCCGUUAAAAAUUGUCAAAUUUGUGACAUCUUGAUCGUACGGUAAAUGAUGUCGAAAAUUUAUAAAAUUUGAUUUCUAAAAGUUUUAAAUGCUGUAAAUAACGUUUAACGGUGUGGAUCGUCGAUUCGGAAGCUCUAUCAUUGAAAACAACUUAUGAGUACGAGGGCAAUCGUACUCAUGAUAGUAUAGUAGCCGGACCCUACAUAUAGUUGGUGUAUUUGUGAAAGAUACGCUAAUGUUUGUGG